AGCGUUCUCGCUGGUGCACUUUGCCGGGCACAGGCCAGCAUCAGUUCAGCGCGGGGGAGAAAGGCUUCGGGAAUGUGGCUCCCUCGGGAGUGUUAUAGCCCGCUGCGUAAUGCCCUGCGCCGGACUGAGGUACGCGCAUUGCAAGGAUGCUGGCGUAAUGGUCAUCAGCGACCCGUCUUGAAACACGGACCAAGGAGUCGUCUUCGUAUGCGAGUGUUCGGGUGUCAAACCCCUACGCGUAAUGAAAGUGAACGCAGGUGAGAGCUUCGGCGCAUCACCGACCGAUCCUGAUGUUCUCGGAUGGAUUUGAGUAAGAGCAUACGGGGCCGGACCCGAAAGAAGGUGAACUAUGCCUGUAUAGGGUGAAGCCAGAGGAAACUCUGGUGGAGGCUCGCAGCGGUUCUGACGUGCGAAUCGAUCGUCAAAUAUGGGCAUGGGGGCGAAAGACUAAUCGAACCUUCUAGUAGCUGGUUUCCGCCGAAGUUUCCCUCAGGAUAGCAGUGUUGAACUCAGUUUUAUGAGGUAAAGCGAAUGAUUAGGGACUCGGGGGCGCUAUAUUGCCUUCAUCCAUUCUCAAACUUUAAAUAUGUAAGAAGCCCUUGUUGCUUGAUUGAACGUGGGCAUUCGAAUGUAUCAACACUAGUGGGCCAUUUUUGGUAAGCAGAACUGGCGAUGCGGGAUGAACCGAACGCGAGGUUAAGGUGCCGGAGUGGACGCUCAUCAGACACCACAAAAGGUGUUAGUACAUCUUGACAGCAGGACGGUGGCCAUGGAAGUCGGAAUCCGCUAAGGACUGUGUAACAACUCACCUGCCGAAUGUACUAGCCCUGAAAAUGGAUGGCGCUCAAGCGUUCCACCCAUACCUCGCCCUCAGGGUAGGAACGAAGCCCUGAGGAGUAGGCGGACGUGGAGGUCAGUGACGAAGCCUAGGGC
rnacentral:rRNA from 1 species